rnacentral:rRNA from 1 species
ACGGGUGAGUAACACGUAUCCAACCUGCCGUCUACUCUUGGACAGCCUUCUGAAAGGGAGAUUAAUACAAGAUGGCAUCAUGAGUCCGCAUGUUCACAUGAUUAAAGGUAUUCCGGUAGACGAUGGGAUGCGUUCCAUUAGAUAGUAGGCGGGGUAACGGCCCACCUAGUCUUCGAUGGAUAGGGGUUCUGAGAGGAAGGUCCCCCACAUUGGAACUGAGACACGGUCCAA